AUACCAUGCUGAAACAUCGGUUCCCAUACAAUCAACAAAGUUAAGCAAUGUUGAGCCUAGUUAGUACCUAGAUGGGUGGCCACUUGGGAAUAAUUGGAUGCUG